UGCUACGAAUUUCCGAUUUGGAUGAAAUGAAGGCACAAAUCAGGAUAACAGUGGCAGAGAAGGAGAGUGAAGGACAAAGUUGGUUUCUGAUUUUUUUGC